CCUACGGGCGGCUGCAGUGGGGAAUAUUGGACAAUGGGCGAAAGCCUGAUCCAGCCAUGCCGCGUGUGUGAAGAAGGCCUUCGGGUUGUAAAGCACUUUCAGUGGGGAAGAAAGCCUUGGGGCUAAUACCCUCGAGGAAGGACAUCACCCACAGAAGAAGCACCGGCUAACUCCGUGCCAGCAGCCGCGGUAAUACGUAGGGUGCGAGCGUUAAUCGGAAUUACUGGGCGUAAAGCGCGCGUAGGCGGUCUGAUAAGCCGGUUGUGAAAGCCCCGGGCUCAACCUGGGAACGGCAUCCGGAACUGUCAGGCUAGAGUGCAGGAGAGGAGGGUAGAAUUCCCGGUGUAGCAGUGAAAUGCGUAGAGAUCGGGAGGAAUACCAGUGGCGAAGGCGGCCUUCUGGACUGACACUGACGCUGAGGUGCGAAAGCGUGGGUAGCAAACAGGAUUAGAUACCCUAGUAGUC
rnacentral:rRNA from 1 species